rnacentral:lncRNA from 1 species
UCAUCUUCUGAUCAAGACUUGAGAGGAUAGCUUGCACAAUGUAUCCACAUGUUAUGCAAUAUGAAAUGCCUAAUGCCCUAAAAUGAUAUGCAAAUAUGUUAAUGCUAGUCCCAAGAGAGGAGGGCAAAUUUUGAGGUGUUACAAUUUGCAAAUAAUACUUUGUAUGUUCCUUGAAAAAAAAAAUAAAAAAAAAAUUGCAUUCAUGCAUCAUUUGCAUCGCAUGUC